GAUGAACGCUAGCGGCAGGCUUAACACAUGCAAGUCGAGGGGCAGCACGGGUAGCAAUACCUGGUGGCGACCGGCGCAAGGGUGCGUAACGCGUGAGCAACAUGCCCUAUACAGGGGGAUAAUCCAGGGAAACUUGGUCUAAUAUCCCAUAGUAUUUAGAGGAGGCAUCUUCUAUAAAUUAAAGCUUCGGUGGUAUAGGAUUGGCUCGCGUGACAUUAGCUAGAUGGUGAGGUAACGGCUCACCAUGGCAAUGAUGUCUAGGGGUUCUGAGAGGAAGGCCCCCCAACUGGGACUGAGACACGGCCCAGACUCCUACGGGAGGCAGCAGUGAGGAAUAUUGGUCAAUGGACGCAAGUCUGAACCAGCCAUGCCGCGUGCAGGAUGACGGCCCUAUGGGUUGUAAACUGCUUUUCCACGGGAAGAACCCUCCGACGUGUCGGAGACUGACGGUACCGUGGGAAUAAGCAUCGGCUAACUCCGUGCC
rnacentral:rRNA from 1 species